rnacentral:tRNA from 1 species
GUUUAUAUAGUUUAGUUUAAAAUUUUGGUUUGUGGUUCCAAAGAUAUAUUUUUAUUAUAAACA